AUAUAUAUAUAUUUAGGUAUAAAGGCUUUGUAUCACAAGUGUAUCUGCACGUUAUUGCCCAAAAGAGGAAUGGUGGAUUCAUGUGGUCCUAAGUGUGGCUUUUAUCUGUAUUUAUGGUCAGUUCUAGUUGCAUAUUCUCUCAUCUCCCCAAGAUUUUAUCUUUUGACUAAUAAAAAAAUUGGCAAUUAAUUAAGUGAAAAACCACUGUGAGGUAUGUGUUGCUCACAAACAUAAAUCAAAUUAGCAUAGGAAUUAAAUGUUAAGCCACCUACUAACAUAUGCUUUAUGAUUUAGAUUUAUGAUGGGUGCUACAAAGGAGGUGGUGGUACCUUAAUUGUCCAAGAGGGUGGAGCCUUCAAGGGCCUCUACCAAAAGGAGGAGGCAGGCACUGGAGUAGAACAGACCAACACUGCUAGACAGGAACCUGGGUGGGGAAAGAUCUGCUUAAAAAGAAAUGCCCAAAUGUUGGACAGUGUACUUUGGGUCAAACCUGUUCAGAAGGGUGUAUUUAAAAAUACUCUAGCUUGGGUGGGAAAUUAUAUACAAAAAAGAAAACUUAAAUUGUGCAGCAAAAGGGGAGGAAAUGUCAAACACCUGGGAGGAGACUUUAGAUGUAGAUUUCAUGCAGGAUUUCUACUUGCAUAGGUUUUAGUGUCAUGGUAAUUUUACUGGACUUGUGCUAAAAUAAAGCACAAUAUUUUAUCAGUACUGCAACGAAAUACAUAUUUUCUGUUUUUCUUCUUCAAAAUGCUUUCCAAAAUGUUUUCCAUAACAGGGAAUGUAAAUGCAGGACAGUGUAUGGUAUAAGUUACACAGAAACAGAACUGGAAACAGUUGAUCAUAAAGCUACAUAAAGAAUGGUGACAACUGAAGGUUCAUAUAGCAGUUUUCCAGAAAGCUGCUAGAAAUAUCAUACAGACCAUGACACGCUACAUAUUCUGUUAAAACCAGGCUGCACUUCAGUGAAUCCCACCAAGAGUGCCCUGAAACAAUCAUUUGGCUUUGCAAAUCAUUUAGGGCAGAAAAGUUUGGGAAAUUUUAUUGUCUAAAACUUGUAGGGGAGGAUACAUGAGUCCUGAUGCACGUCAAUGCAGGAGCAUGUGAGCUUUGCCCAUGUGGCUUGUUUUGUGGCAUUGAGUUUAGGGUAGAAUUCAAAAUUAAUGUUCUUGUUUGUCUUGAAAGUAUUAGGUAGUCUCUGAUUACAGCUGGGUGAGACAUUUUCUUGCUCAGUGAAGAAAUAAAGAGUGGGAAGGUGUACUGUGACAAAUGGCACUUAUUAUUGUUUUUAAAAAAUCAGAUAAUGCCUGAAUCAUCAAUGUAAUAGGUCAUCCUAAGCAGCAAAAAAGAGCAUUUUUUUUCAUUGUGCAAGCUGAUAAUAGGAACAUUUGCCAGGAGAGCUACAAAGGUGGAUGGUAAGUGUGUGAUUAUGCACUAAGUGGUUCUGAUGACAGGCAGAGAAUUCAGAGUAUGAUUGACAGGGUAUUUCAUAUUGAUUAGAGAAACAAACUGUGCUUUGAACAGCUAGACAGCUGGCAGAUUUCUUAAAAAUAACUGAUUUUUGGAAGCUGAAAUAAUUAAGCCUAUUUGUUUGUGCCACAUGGUAAAGUCAUUCAGAACUGCUGCUUGGAAAUCCUACUCAGUGGUUGUUUUCCAGCCGAUCCAUUCAUAGUUUCUGCAACCACCUCAAAUUUUAUUAUGUACCAAGAAUGAAGUUAGUUUCCCCCGGAAAUUGUCAUGUAAUUCAUGGCUUCCCUUGUGAAAAUAUAAAAAUAAAUACUAUAACUUUGUUUCCAUGUCUGUGAUAAAUUUCAGUUACGUAUGCAGUGGAAGAUACUGUACUAUGAUUUCCCAGUGCUAGCAGUGGCUGGUGUAAAACCCUGCAAAUGUCUGCUACACUCUGUUGUUAAUGACUAUUUUAAAAGGACAAAGCCAUAUUUUUCUUCCUUUGUUCAUCUUUCUUGGAUCUGUCAUUAUGAUGUUGGUUUACUGAUUGCUCCUGGAGUCUGAACACAGGCUUGUGUUUCUGUCUCUGAAGACCUUUGGGUACCUUCAUAAGGAGCUUCUGUGGGCUGAUAAAUUAUAAAACCAGCUAAGCAACAAAAAUGUGGCCCAUGGGCCUUUCUGAGGAAAUGCUGGGACAUUGUGUUUAAUGGCAGCACUGUUUUUGUUUUUCCUUUUGAAGAAAUAACUCCUCUGCCUGCACCUGUGUGUUGAGUUGUCUGUAGCUGUAACAUGACGUGUUUGCAGUGGUUAACUUGUGCUGCUGCCCUGAGGAUCAAGGGAAAAGCCAGGCAUGCCCUUUGCCAGGAGCACAGCAGUGUUCCCAGUGUGAUGCCUAUGUUAUUCCCCACUCAGCUCUCCAGCAGCCAGGCAAGUUGGCAGUUGUACAGUGCUGUGGGAAAGAAAGGGCGGCAGAAAAUGCUGAAUGUCUGCUAAUGCAUCUGAGUAAUCACCAUUCUGGGGUUAGAUUGCAGGAAGAUGACAAAAUUGCUGAAUAAACUCUGUUUAGUCUUUUCCCCCCCCCCGCCCCUUUCUUUUUUCCUUUUUUUCCUCUCCAGUAUGAGCUGCCAGUUGUUGUUGCUGCAAUGGACAAUAUAGCCUGUGAAGAGGCAAAAGUUUUCCAUUUGGAAGAGAAACAGAAGCCUGUAUCUUCCAUUCAGUUGGAAUACUGUGAGCAAAUCAACGUGUGUGAACUCCUGAGAACUGCAGGUGUGGGACCUCUCAUAUUAGAAUGUGUGUGUGUGCAGGAACCAGUGGUAUAUGAAGAUGGAACCAUGAAGAGAAAGCAGAAGGAAUAAUAAUGCUUUUCCGAAACCGUUUUCUGUUCUUGCUGGCCUUGGCAGCCUUGUUGGCCUUUCUGAGCCUCAGUCUAC